rnacentral:rRNA from 1 species
AGUGAACGCUGGCGGCGUGCUUAACACAUGCAAGUCGAACGAGAACGGGUUAUAGCUUGCUAUAAUUGUCAGCUAAGUGGCGCACGGGUGAGUAAUGUAUAGGUAAUAUGCCUCUUACUAAGGGAUAACAAUUGGAAACGACUGCUAAUACCUUAUACUCCUUAUUAACAGAAGUUAAUAAGGGAAAGAUUUAUUGGUAAGAGAUUAGCCUGUAUUGUAUCAGUUAGUUGGUGGGGUAAUGGCUUACCAAGACUAUGACACAUAACUGGUUUGAGAGGAUGAUCAGUCACACUGGAACUGAGACACGGUCCAGACUCCUACGGGAGGCAGCAGUGGGGAAUAUUGCACAAUGGACGAAAGUCUGAUGCAGCAACGCCGCGUGGAGGAUGACACAUUUCGGUGCGUAAACUCCUUUUAUAUGAGAAGAUAAUGACGGUAUUAUAUGAAUAAGCACCGGCUAACUCCGUGCCAGCAGCCGCCGUAA